GUGCUCACUUCGGCAGCCCAUAUACUAACAUUGGAACAAGACGGAGAAGAUUAGCAUGGCCCCUGGGCAAGGAUGACAUGCAAAUUCAUGAUGCGUUCCAUAUGUUU